rnacentral:rRNA from 1 species
ACUAACUAGGAUUCCCUUAGUAGCUGCGAGCGAACAGGGAAGAGCCCAGCACUGAAUCCCGCGGCGACGCGGGAAAUGUAGUGUUUGGGAGGGUCCGCCAUCCCGAUGCUGUCUUGCGCGUCCAAGUCCUUCUUGAACGGGGCUACUUACCCAUAGAGGGUGCCAGGCCCGUAGCGACCGCAAACAGUCACGGGAGGACCUCUCCUCAGAGUCGGGUUGCUUGAGAGUGCAGCCCUAAGUGGGUGGUAAACUCCAUCUAAGGCUAAAUAUAACCACGAGACCGAUAGCGAACAAGUACCGUGAGGGAAAGUUGAAAAGAACUUUGAAGAGAGAGUUCAAUAGUACGUGAAACCGUUCAGGGGUAAACCUGAGAAACCCGAAAGUUCGAAUGGGGAGAUUCACCGUGUCUCCGGGCGAGCGUUSGRUGACGACCGUGACGGAUGGCGUUCGCGUCGUCCGCGCACGUUGCCSGCGAGCUCGCCUGGAACGCGUGCACUUCUCCCCUAGUAGGACGUUGCGACCCGUUGGGUGUCGGUCUAAGGCUCGCGAGGGAGCCCGCGCGUGUCGGUUCGCCGUUCACGCACGGACCCGCGGUGUCCCGGCCGACAAGCCCGACGGUACGAUCAUAUGGCGCGGAGCCGCCUCUAUGGCGUCCGGCGCGUCGCAAGCACCGUCGGUAACCUGACGCUCGGACCUAGCGCCGACGUUGGGCCCGGCAGGCUGUUGGCGGCGCUGCUCUCGGACAGACUUCGUACACGCCGAUCGGCAACGCUUUAGCUUUGGGUACUUUCAGGGCCCGUCUUGAAACACGGACCAAGGAGUCUAGCAUGUGCGCGAGUCACUGGGAACAAAUUAAACCCAAAGGCGAAGUGAAAGUACAGGCCGGCCUUGCGCCGGCUCAGGGAGGACGGGUCGCGUCCGCGCGGCCCCGCACUCCCGGGGCGUCUCGUUCUCAUUGCGAGAUGAGGCGCACCUAGAGCGCACACGCUGGUACCCGAAAGAUGGUGAACUAUGCCUGGUCAGGACGAAGUCAGGGGAAACCCUGAUGGAGGUCCGUAGCGAUUCUGACGUGCAAAUCGAUCGUCGGAACUGGGUAUAGGGGCGAAAGACUAAUCGAACCAUCUAGUAGCUGGUUCCCUCCGAAGUUUCCCUCAGGAUAGCUGGCGCUCGCAUGAGCGAGUCUCAUCUGGUAAAGCGAAUGAUUAGAGGCAUUGGGGUCGAAACGGCCUCAACCUAUUCUCAAACUUUAAAUGGGUGAGAUCUCCGGCUUGCUUGAAAAGUGAAGCCGCGAGAUUCGAUCAGAG